GCAGGGUGCGGUGGCAUGCACCUGUGGUCCCAGUUACUUGGGAGGCUGAGGCAGGGGGAUCACUUGAAUCCAGGAGGUCGAGGCUGCAGUGAGCCAUGAUUGUACCACUGCACUCUAGCCUGGGUGACAGAGUGAGACCCUGUCUCAA
rnacentral:sRNA from 1 species